UACUCGAGUGGCGAACGGGUGAGUAACACGUGGGUGAUCUGCCCUGCACUUCGGGAUAAGCUUGGGUAACUGGGUCUAAUACCGGAUAGGAACCAUCUUUAGUGUGGUGGUUGGAAAGUUUUUUCGGUGUAGGAUGAGCUCGCGGCCUAUCAGCUUGUUGGUGGGGUAAUGGCCUACCAAGGCGGCGACGGGUAGCCGGCCUGAGAGGGUGUACGGCCACAUUGGGACUGAGAUACGGCCCAG
rnacentral:rRNA from 1 species